rnacentral:rRNA from 1 species
UACGGGGGGGGCAAGCGUUGUUCGGAAUUACUGGGCGUAAAGGGCUCGUAGGCGGCCAACUAAGUCGGAUGUGAAAACCCGAAGCUCAACUUCGGGCCUGCAUCCGAAACUGCCCGACUAGAGGUAGGUAGGGGAGAUCGGAAUUCCUGGUGUAGCGGUGAAAUGCGCAGAUAUCAGGAGGAACACCGGUGGCGAAGGCGGAUCUCUGGGCCUUACCUGACGCUCAGGUGCGAAAGCUAGGGGAGCGAACAGG